CUCUCGUCAGCUGAGGAGAAUGAUUCAUAGAGGAGGGUCAGGAGAGAAGAACAGCUCUGUCUGUGAAAGCCCACUUAAAAGGCUGGACUCUUCUCCGAGGGAGGGAGAGUCAGGGGAGCAAGCAGGGUCUCGGGCCUGACCCCCAACGUCAGGCCGUCCGCCAGGCCUCUACCGCGUAGUGGGCCUUGUCAGAGGUGGCGGCUAGGCGCCGGUUGCUGGGGGACCGGUGACGUCGCGGGGUGAAAGUUGAGGGGCGGUGACGUCGGGCCUGCCCGGGCGGAGGCUGGCGGGCUGGAGGCAGAGGGAGGGAGGGAAGGAGGGAAGGAAGGAAGCUGGGAAGAAGCGAGCGAGCGGGGGCGCGAGGCGUUUACCUGGAGGCAGCGGCUUGGGCGCGCAGAGCGGCCGCGGCUCCCCCGCACCUGCGGCCAUGGAUGAGGAGCGCGCCCUCUACAUCGUCCGGGCCGGCGAGGCGGGGGCUAUCGAGCGGGUCCUGAGGGAUUACAGCGAUAAGAAACUCUGUGAAGGCAUAUUUAAAGUCCUUUUAAAGGACAUCCCAACAACAUGUCAAGUGUCCUGCCUGGAAGUUCUCCGCAUUCUCUCCAGAGACAAAAAGGUUUUAGUUCCUGUAACAACCAAGGAAAAUAUGCAGAUACUGCUGCGACUAGCCAAGCUAAAUGAGUCGGAUGAUUCUUUGGAGAAGGUGUCAGAGUUCCCAGUUAUUGUGGAGUCAUUAAAAUGUCUUUGUAACAUAGUGUUCAACAGUCAGAUGGCACAGCAGCUCAGUCUGGAACUUAACCUUGCUGCAAAGCUCUGUAACCUCCUGAGAAAGUGCAAGGACCGAAAGUUUAUCAAUGACAUUAAGUGCUUUGACUUGCGCUUGCUCUUCGUCCUGUCACUUUUGCACACCGACAUCAGGUCACAAUUGCGCUAUGAGCUCCAAGGACUACCGCUGCUAACCCAGAUCUUGGAAAGUGCCUUUAGCAUCAAGUGGACCGAUGAAUAUGAAUCGGCCAUAGACCAUAAUGGACCUCCUCUCUCACCUCAGGAGACAGACUGUGCCAUUGAGGCCCUUAAAGCUCUCUUCAAUGUGACGGUAGACAGUUGGAAGGUGCAUAAAGAGAGUGAGUCUCAUCAGUUUCGUGUCAUGGCAGCUGUCCUUCGCCAUUGUUUACUAAUUGUAGGUCCAACUGAAGACAAAACAGAAGAGCUACACAGCAAUGCAGUCAACCUUUUAAGCAAUGUUCCGGUCUCUUGUUUGGAUGUUCUCAUUUGUCCAUUAACCCAUGAAGAAACAGCCCAAGAAGCAACAACUUUAGAUGAACUGCCCAGUGAUAAAACAGCUGAAAAAGAAACAGUUUUGAAAAGCAAUACCAUGGUAUACAAUGGUAUGAAUAUGGAAGCCAUUCAUGUCUUACUCAGUUUUAUGGAGAAGAGAAUAGACAAGGGAAGCAGCUAUAGAGAGGGUCUCACUCCAGUUCUCAGCUUGUUAACAGAAUGUUCCCGAGCCCAUCGAAACAUCAGAAAAUUUCUCAAAGAUCAGGUUUUACCACCACUGAGGGAUGUGACAAAUCGACCUGAAGUUGGCUCAACUGUGAGAAAUAAGCUGGUGCGCCUCAUGACACAUGUUGACCUGGGAGUCAAGCAAAUUGCUGCUGAAUUCCUUUUUGUGCUUUGCAAAGAGAGAGUGGAUAGUCUCCUGAAAUACACUGGCUAUGGGAAUGCUGCAGGACUGUUGGCGGCCAGGGGCCUCUUGGCUGGAGGAAGAGGAGAUAAUUGGUACUCAGAGGACGAGGACACAGACACUGAAGAAUACAAAAAUGCAAAACCAAACAUUAAUCUUAUCACUGGUCAUUUAGAGGAACCAAUGCCAAACCCCAUAGAUGAAAUGACAGAAGAACAAAAAGAAUAUGAAGCCAUGAAACUUGUCAACAUGCUUGAUAAACUUUCCAGGAGAGCAGAUGUGAAGGACCUGCACCAGGAUGGUGGUUAGCAACAGUGGCCCGUGCCAAAGCACUUACCAAAGUGAUGACUAAGGUUGGUCAUGCCAAGUACUAUUACUGAGCCUGGUGUAGGGUACAGAUGUUAUUUACCACCAAAACUGUAAAAACCACCAAUGCGAAAAUUUAAAUUACAUUUCCAUUUUGCCUCCAGGCUGGACAUAGCCACUGCCUCAAGUUGCUCACCACCUUAGCAACUUUAUCUAAGCUAGAUUUUUAAGGACACUGGAGAGAUCAGUGCUGAAACAUUUUCUUCCCAUUGAAUACCAACUGACAGUGGUAUUCCAUGCGAUUUUUCUUUUUUUAGUAUAAGGAUUCUGUUUGUGACAGAUGUAGGUAAGGGGAUUGGCAGUGGACCUGGAGGUCUUAAGAGUUUGAGAAUAAUCUGAACCCUAUAAAUCCCAUCAUGUCUAGCUAGUACAGUGCCUUGUACCCUGUGAUUUUCCCAGUGUGUUUGAUGAAAUGUCAAAGCUGAUCCCCAAAUCAAAGGUUAAUUUUUUUGCUCAAUAGAAUAGCCUACAUGGUUUAAAGACUUUAAAGUAUACUUUUGUCAGUUCAAUUUCUUGGCCAGAUGUCAUAAAAUGCAGGUCUGGAAAGGAAUUCUGUAAGGUACUUUGGUCCAUGAGUGGCUAAUUGAAAUAAUGGGAUACCUAAUUUCUUUAAUAUAGAAUGAUAAUUGUAAUAUUUAUCAGACAUAAGCAUUAAAGCCUGAGGCAUGGAGAUUAUAGAAAGCUUCAUUUGACAUUUUUAAUGUGAGAACAGAGGUGGGAAAGAGGAUGAAAUUGGCCUGCCUCUCCACCUCUUCUUUCCUUUUUUGAACUGGAAAAAAUAUAAGUCCCUGCAACUUAAGCGGGAGAUUAGAAUUCGGAUUGUAUGUAGUUAAGCAAGUCCAGUGUGGCUAAUACAAUUGCAUUCACCUUAGCUACAGCACACAAUUUGCAUAUAACAGCACAGCCUCCUCCAGAAGAUGGGAGAGAAGAUUGACUGGCUUAAGCCUAAACUAACCAAGGGAAGUAAUAUUUCAAGUUUCAAGCUUUGUUUUGACUUUUCUAAUCCCCCUUAGUAUCUUAAUUGGAACAGGACUGACUAAUCUUCUACUGCAUACUUACCCCAUCACUGUUUAACAAGGUACAUUGCCUUUUUGCUUAUAAAUUAUAUCAAAAUCUUCUAAAAUUUACAUCUAUAUAAAUAAUUGUUUUCCAUUUCUUCCCUUUCUUAUCUAGUCCUUGUCCAAUAUAUUUUUGCCAGCCAUUAUGUAGUAUUGGUGGGACAUGGCUUUCUUAAUAAAUGCAAGUACCAAAUAUAGAAAUAGUUCCCCUUUAGUCUCCAAAUAUUAUUUUUAAGCUUAUUAAAGCUGGGACAGAUAAUUUAUGACUGAAAGUAAUAACUAUAUAAUUUUUUCUUUAUAACUAAAUUUCUUGACUCUGCUUAUAAAGAUAACAACUGUGAUUACUCCCACCUUGAUGAGUUAACCAAGGAAAUGCUUUGUAGGUACAUUUCAGAAAUACGAUCCAGUUAUUAUAGCAUUGUAAGAUCUAUUGUGGGUACGAAAGUGUAAUGAUCUCAGUUGCUAACAUCAGAACAUCCUUUAGAUCUGCACUGUCCAAUAUGGUAACCACUAGUCAUAUAUGACUAUGGCUAGUCUGAAUUGGGAUGUCUUCUAAGUGUUAAAAUACUCAGACAUUCAAAGACUCAGUACAAAAAGAGAAUAUAAAAUACCUCAAUUGUUUAUUAUGAAUUUAUGUUGAAAUAAUAUUUUUGAUAUAUUGGGUUAAGCAAAUCAUUUUAAAACUUAUCUUACUUUUCUUACUUUUUCGAUGUGGCUACUAGAACAUUUAAGAUUACAUAUGUAUGGCUUACAUUAUGUUUCUGUUAGAUAGCACUGUUCUAUCUCAAUAAAAAUACACUGCAAGUUUGCUUAGAAGCUUAAUUAAAGGAACUUGGAUCCAGUUAAACUAAUACACCCUUACAGUGGUAAGGGAGAAAUACGGUAUUGUUCAUCUUUAGGUUAAAGAGGGCCUUUCCACUGGCUGGACACCUCUAAGUAGGAUGUCAUGCAAUCUUUGUAUUGCUUAUUAGUAGUCAUUGUCCCUUAACUCUGUAGUAGGAAUGCCUACUUUGAGCUCUUGAUUUAAGCACUAGCCAAAAUGACUUUUGUUUAUUAGAGAAACAUCAAAUAAGAAUAAUCUCCAUUGACUACUUGCUCUUAGUCACCCUCCUUUCUAAUGGAGAAGAGCAUGUUAGAACUUCCAUUUCUACUGCUUUAUUCAACACUGUCAGUUGGCAUGCUGACCUCUUAUUAAUAUUUAUUUUGCUAAUUUUGGACAACAGGAUAGAAAGGUCUGUAGAGAAAUUACCAAGAAAUAAAGAUCACCUUCACUUAAGGGUAAAACUCAAGUUUUAUUUUUCUAACAUUAUCCCUAACCUCUUUCUCUAUAUUUUCUUAACCAUACUCUUUAAUGUGAGGUGGAUAACACAUUUUUAGAAGCUUUGCAUGUGAUCUUCUAACAGAAAUGAGAAUAAUAAAAGACUAAUAUUUUAUAUAUUGCUUUUAAGUUUGAAAACAGCCUUGUGAAUUAGAUAGGGUAAGAGAUAUUUUAUUGAGGCGUAAACGGGAACAGUGAUUAAGUAUCUAAACCAAGAUCAGCCAUCUUGUUAGUGAUAUAGUCAGGAUUUGGUUCUUAGACUUCAGACUCCAAAUCUUAACUGUUAUUUUAAAAAAUUACCAACAUACAGCUCUCAAAUUUGUCAGUCUGAUUAUCUUUAGUAAGAUGCUCUAAAUUUUAAAUAGAUUCAAAGGACAAAGACAGAUAGUAAGCCUAUUUACCUGAGAAGAAAAUUAAGAUUUGGAGGCCAUUCCUGCUUUUUCAUUCCAUAAUUGAGCUUUUCUCAAAUAUCAAGUCAGGUCCUAAGCAGCUUAUAUCAAAAACAAAAACAGCUUCAUAUGAAGGAAACCAGUAACACUGCUAUGAUUCUAUGUUACUAUAAAAUAUUUUAAUUAUUUUGAAAAGAGAAUAUUCUGACAGAUUCUUAUAUUCAGUGUGAUCAUAUGAAGAAAAUUAACUUUAGAAAGGCUUCCCUAUUUACAAGGCUGUUGCCUGUUUAUUCAACUCCCGAAGUGAAAGGACAUGCAUGGUGUGGACAAUGUGCCAUAUCCAUUUCUCUUGGGAAUGAUAUUUUUAUGUUGUAUAUUUUAACUUCCCAACUGUACCCAAUCCCAAAGCAUGAUGGUGAGGCUGAGGGAAGGGUCUCAGAAAUGUUUUUGAGAAAUGGAGCUUGAAGACCUCGGAUUUGGUACAGAAAAGCCACCACACCUCUCCUACCUAUUGGUUAGUGGCUUAGUAAAAGAUGAGUAUAACUUCAGCACUAGGAAGCCAUCAGAUUAUGGCUGAUGAUGAUUAUACUGAAAGAUGAAGGAUCAGCAAAGGACAUGCUCUGAUGGUAUAUAACUGAACAUUUAACUAGUGCCAAAAGGUGUAUUAAUUUCUUGAGGACAAAGCAUUUAAAACACUUCAGAAUAUCACAAGUUUUGAGGAAAUCCAUUGUACUUCAAUAGAUUAUGGACUAUUCCGUUGAUGCUGAAGUAUUGAAAUAAGAUGCACUCUCAGAAUUAUAGCAAAGAUUACAGAGCUUCCUUCUCGGGGCUCUCACGGGCUCCGUUACAGCAGGCAUUUUUGGAAAAGCUCUGUUAAUUAAAAUAUUUUAUUUAUAUACUAAUUUUCAUCCUAUCUUCCAAAUGUGAAAGGAAUUAAAUGCGAAAUGGCUAAUUUUAAAUGUCAGGGUUCUUUUUUUCCAAGCCAACCUUACAUUAAGAACAGGAAUCCCUGUGCCAAAGAAAUGGUUCCCAAUUAUCCCAUCCUGGGUUUUGUUAUACAUUGUACAGAAGUCAACAAAACAAGUAUGUAACAGAACCUGCCUAAAUAACAGCCACCCUCAUUAAAAUCAGAAUUAAUCAGGGGGUGAUUGAAGGAAGCAAUGCUUCAUAGGUUCCCCCUUUUUCUUCUUUUCUAAUCAUAGAACAAAAUAUGUUACAUAAAAGGAUUGGAACUAUUAUGCAGUACUCAAUUAGAGGGAGGUGAAUAGGUCUCUAACAUGCUGUUUUAUCAAAAGAGCGGACUGGUGUUUGCAUGACUGUUGUUUCAUUACAGACCCUGUCAUUAAUUCCAUGUGUCAAUACUGCCCUGUAGUACACAGAGCAGACAAGAAAGAAGAGCCCUUGAAAACAAGGGAAUGAUUUUUGAGUCGUUAUCAAGCUAAGUGGCAAGCGGGAAGCUGAAACUCGUAUAGUUGAACAUUCUUGGAGGCUUAUCUCUUCCCUGGCCAGAUGCCUGAUCAGAUGAGAAGCCCGCCAUGAUACUGUCACAGUGCCUAGAAUGGGCUCUUUAUCCAGUAGACAUCACUGUACUUUUUGAUGAUAACGAGGGCAGUCUUAACUUGUGUUAAGGCCUGUGUAUAGCAUUGAAGAUGGGGAGACUCAAGCCCAGAGAAGGAAAUGACUUGCCCAAGGACACCCAGCACAUUAGUGGACAAUCUGAGUCUAGACCCACUGGUGCCCCAGAUGUAAGCAGCCGAGUCUACAUGAAUCAGUGGUUGGAAAUUCCAGGUUGUAUGGCACAAAGAGGGCCUUGAUUUCUGGACGGUCAGAAUGUCUGAUGACAUUGACUCAUCAGGGAAGUAAUUAUAGUUAAAAUAGCAAGAGGAUGACUCAUGGCAAAUGGUUCUCUACCAUUGUCCAUUGAUGCUAUGACCCAUGUAUUAUAUUCUUUCAGUAGAACUUUACUGAGCACCUAUCAUGUGCCCAUCCUAGAUCCUGCAGAUCACAGCCAGAGAAGACAUGGACUCUGUCCUCAAGUUGCUCAAGUCCUGUAGAGAAUGAGAAAUCUCUGGAAAGCAUCAUGCAGAAUUCCCUGUAGAAUGCUAGUACUUUUCCUAAUUGUAAAUCUUGGUGAUGAAAGUGAACCUUUUCUCUUGGUCAGGGUUUGUUUAUUAGGAGUCACAUAAAACACUAUACCAUUCCUUUCUGUGAAAAUACAAGAUAAUACCAACUGCAGCUAAAUUGAGUUCAUAAACACUUAUUGAGGAUCUACCAUCUGCAAGGCACUGUGCUAGACACAUAGGGAUAUGAAAAUGAAUACAGUGUAGAAUAUUUUCUUUUUAAAUGUCAAAGCAGUAUUGUUUUAUAGCUUUCAACCUUUGUAAUAAGAAUUAUUUUUAAUAAAUAGUCUUAAAAUAUGGGACCCUUGAAAUAGAAGACAAAAUAUCUCUGUACUGUAACCCAGACUUGUCAGCCCAGGAUUGCAAAGUCUCCAUCCAAAUCCUCUUUUGUACCCCAUAUCUGUCUUAAGCUUUCUUUUUCCUUUAUCUCAGCCAAGCCAGCCUGCUUGCCAGUCCCUGCACACAACUAACUCUCGCUUCUGUGCCUUUGCUUGACUAACCUUCUGCUUCGGGAUGCCUUUCUCCCCAUGAAUCUAUGUCCAUCACUGCCAUUACAGUCUGGCCCUGAAUCCAUCUCCUGCCAGGAGCCUGUGAUCAGCAUCCCCCUCUCUUCCGUGUCCCUCCCACGUGUACAUAGCCCGUAUGACUGGUGGAAUAACAGUUCUGUGGUAUUCAUUAAUGCUUCCCAUUCUCUGUCCACAUCUUGCUGAUCUAGAUACAACAGAUCUUACUAAAUGAAGCAGUUUAGUAUAACCAGGUCAUUUUUCAGACCUUUUAGGAGUAAGUUUCUAUAUCAAAGAAUUCAUUUUGGUAUUUGUGGGCUGUUAUAGAGAGGAAGAGCAGAAUCGUUAGGAUGAGGGUUUGAAAAGUAAGCCUCGGGGUCCAUAAGAGAAAAGAGUCAUAUAUCUGUAAGUGAUCCUCUCUCCUUCCAUUCCCAAACAGGAUGAGAAAUUGCCUUUAAAUAAAUUUCAAAUACAGUAAGGGUGUACUGAACUGUCAAGCUAGGGAAAGCAGGGCUCUGCCUGUUAAUCAUCUCAAGCUUGUUGAUCUGCUGUUCUGUAAUUCCUUUAAUAUUGUUUAAUGUGUGUAUGUUUUACCUUCUGAACUGACUAAAAGCUUCUUGAGGACAGGGACCAUGUCUUUUUUUUGCUUCUGCAUAUUCUUCCCCCACUUAUUCCCAAAGACUGCCCUAACAAUCUUGUGGAAACCUUCCUUCCAUAAGCACAUAAAAGACAGGAAGUGCAUCUCAUGGGUUCCAACUACAUCCUAGCCAUUGCACUAUGUAUUUCAUAUGUAUAAUGACCUUUCACCCUCAUGACGAUUCAGUGAAAUGGGUAUUCCUAUCCCAAUUCUACCGAUAAGGAAACUGAAGUUCAGAGAAUUCAAGAUCUUACUGCUAUAGAACCUAGGUCUGAUUCCAAAACCUUUAUAUGCCUUUCACUGUACCACAAUAACAACAACUAAUAUUUAGGACUCCUUUACAGUACAUAGAGCUCUUUCAUUUAUACUAUUAUUGUUGCUGUUACUACUACCACUGCUAGUACUAUAACCCCGUAAGUCAUCACUAGGAAGUAGGUAGGUAGAGCUAGUAUUAUCCCCAUUUCACAGAUGGGAAUACAGAGACUCAGAGACUUGCCCAAGAUCACACAACUGGUAAGUGGAAGAGCCAGGACUUCAGAGAGACUUCCUGACUCUAGACCUUUUUGUUCUUUCCAGUGUGUCACAUUGCCGCCUUAAUUUAUCUGCACGAAUGCAUAAUUAUUUGGCCAGUUAUCACUGACACCUCUCCUACAGGAGUGUCAGUAAGACAAGACAUCCUAUAGCAUCCUAUAGGCAUGUGAAAAAGAAAAUAAUUCAUAUCCUUAGAAGAGCGUCUAUGUUAGUAGAGGGGUGAUACAGAAAAUCCAAAAAAUAAAGCCUUGAGAAGAAUAGUUCACAGGUGAGAAUUAAAAUAUGAGCCCCUUUAUUCUAUAGAUGAAUUUUCAUAAUUUGGCUAUAAUUCUGUAAUGUUUUUAAUUAUUUCUAUUAUAAAAUUGGAUUAGGGAGUAGGGGUGCAACCUAUGGACUUGAUUUGAAAAUAUUCCUCCUGGGUUUGGAUGAGAAAGUACUGGCUACUUUGUGCAAGCUGGUAGCUAGCCCCAGUAUCAUUCUGUUACCAGAGAAAUGCGGAAAUAUUAGGAGUGAUGGCAUGCCCCCCCCAGCAGUUCAUCACUAUCUUGGUAGAAUUCAUGCAGUCUCAUCCACUGAUCCCAUUCCACCCACCCAUACCCUUCACCCCACCCCACCUUACUGUUCUGCAGUCACCAACCCCUUCAAAGCUUUGAACUUUCUGAUCCCUUAAUGUUUCACCCCAGAAGGUGGUGCCCUUCUCCUUUUGUAUUGAUUAUUAGUAAACAGUGUCCAGUAUCACAAAGUCCUUCAGGACAACCAGAACUAGGAAUUGUUACUAAAGUACAGAUGUGUAGUAUGAACUGGUGCUAGAGAGAAGUUUCAGUGGAAGCAGAUUGUUCUCUAAUUCCACUAAACAUUUCUACCUGGUUGUCAUGCAGAGUUCUUCACUGUUCUGAAAGAUGUUAGUGUCUUUCCCGUCCCCUAAAAUCUGCUCCAUCUGCUGUGCUCUUGCUCGAAUGAAUGGUCACCAUCCACAUGGUCAUCUGAGCUGGGAGCCAUAGAGACACUUUUCCUCACUCCCCUUUACCAACUCGGCCCUCCCAGUGGAUGACAGCUCUACCUUGGAAGUGAGCCUUUUCUUCCCACAACCACAGCCACAGCCCAGCUUUCUGUCUCCUCUCACACGCACUGUUACAGUGACAUCCUCGUGACUUGCCUCUCUGCCAGUUUCCCCAAUUCCAAUGUGUCUUUGCGCUGCUGCCAGAGAUUCUUCCCUAUAAACCAACCCUGGCCGGGCAUUCCUUACAGGCUAGGACCCAAGCUGCUUACUUUGACAUUCAAGACACUUGACUGCCAAACCCCAAACUGCCCUUGCAGACUUACUUCCUGCUGCUCCUUCAGUGAACCUCUCCCCUCCCCAAACACUGGGCCCUUUCCCAGCUUGAGAGCAGAGAAAGAAAUUGACACAAUCCAGAAAGGUCUACACAGUCACAAGUAGGUGGGACCAUACAGAGCCCUCCAUAUAAUCUCCCUUGCCUGAAAAGUCCUGUGCCAUAUUUGCCUGGCAUAGGACACCUCCCCAGAGGUGCUGCUCCCACCUUCCCCAGGCAAUUAGAUCGAUGCUUCGUCUCAGGAGCUGUGAUUUCCUUUGUUCCUGAUCCUGUUACAGCAUUUACCCCAUUAUGUCCUAAGUUAUUUUCCAUGUGUAUGUUUCCCUCACUGCUCGAGGGCAGCAGCUGUGCCUGGCCUUCCUUCUCUCCCCAGUAUAUGACACAGUUCUCAGCACAUAGCUGUUGAACAGCUGAACUCAGAGUGUGUUCCUUCCGUGCAGUUAGAGCAGUUAGAGCAGAUGUGCAAAGAGCCCUGGACUGGGAUUCAGGGACUGUCCCAGGUCCAGCUUUGCCACUAGACAUGUGACCUUGGGUAAGUCACUCAGUCUCCUUUAUUAAACAAGGGAGUUGGACUAAAUGAUCUCUAAGGCCGCUUUAAGUUCUAUGAUUCUGACCCCAUUUCUGGGAUCACAAAACACAUUUCCUACUUUAUAAAUAUUUAGCAACCUCAAUUUAACCAGCAACCAUCCAUAUUAAUAGAGUCUUCAGACUCGCAGCAGUAGUCUUCUGGUAAGAGCUGCUUGAUAGGCUCCUGUUGGCUUAUCCAGCGACCACUGAGCUGUUCUUCCCUCCCCCAGGAGUCUCUCUGCGCUUGUAACACUAGCACACGGUUGUGUGGUGGCCCUUCCCAGGAGGGAGCCCUUCUGUGUGCUGGCCUGAGGGACAACCACAAGGAAGCAGAGGGAGAGGAGGCCUUAUUAUCUUCCUUCACUCUAGCUCCCACCAACAUUACACUUGCUGCCAUGUGGGUUCUUGUUGUAGACAUGUUUUUAGGGGGCAAUGCCCGUUUCUGUGAGAAAUAAGUUUUAAGCAGCUCAUGUACUCUUCAAGACUCCUUUUAAAGUACACUGCUGACUUUUUGGGGUGGGAGGAGGACUAGAGUUAGCAGCUCAACAGGUACAUUCACCAUAAUCUCCAUAUAAUAAAUAAGAAACCAUGAAAAGAUUAAAUAAAUCUUUCCUAACGCUUUUUGAUUGGCUUAAUCAAUAAUUAAUCAUCUUUAGAGGAGGCCCUAACUUGUGGAGUAGAUAUAAUUGGAUUAGCUGAGGAGAGGCAGUUGGGGAGCUUUGAAGAGAUUAAAAUGGCUGUCAAUCCCAUAAUUAAACUGCCACAAACAAAAGCAAUGGUGUUUUUUUAAAAAAGAAGGAGAGAAAGAAGGAAAGAAAAGGGAGGGAGAAAGUUGGGAAAGGCCAACUGAUUUGAAAUCAGUAAGUACUUAUAUAUCACUAGAGACUGGACAGGGAAAAAUCAAAUGGCAGAUUUAUUCCAUUAAAUGAAAUCCAUACAUAUCAAAUCAGCCAUUUAAUUACAUGGCUGGUCCACUGGGACAGGUGAAAUUUUGGCAGCUUCAACUUCACUAAAACAAAUCCACAAAA